GACGAACGCUGGCGGCGUGCUUAACACAUGCAAGUCGAACGAUGAAACCUAGCUUGCUAGGUCGAUUAGUGGCGAACGGGUGAGUAACACGUGACUAACCUGCCCCUUUCUCUGGGAUAACGCUCCGAAAGGAGUGCUAAUACCGGAUACUCACAUCGAGGCACAUGCCUUGGUGUGGAAAGUUUUUCGGAAAGGGAUGGAGUCGCGGCCUAUCAGCUUGUUGGGGAGGUAACGGCUCACCAAGGCGACGACGGGUAGCCGGCCUGGGAGGGCGACCGGCCACACUGGGACUGAGACACGGCCCAGACUCCUACGGGAGGCAGCAGUGGGGAAUAUUGCACAAUGGGCGCAAGCCUGAUGCAGCGACGCCGCGUGAGGGAUGAAGGUCUUCGGAUUGUAAACCUCUUUCAGUAGGGACGAAGCGAAAGUGACGGUACCUAAAGAAGAAGCACCGGCUAACUACGUGCCAGCAGCCGCCGUAA
rnacentral:rRNA from 1 species